rnacentral:misc_RNA from 1 species
GAUGAAGAACGUAGCGAAAUGCGAUACGUAGUGUGAAUUGCAGAAUUCAGUGAAUCAUCGAAUCUUUGAACGCACAUUGCGCCCUUUGGUAUUCCAAAGGGCAUGCCUGUUCGAGCGUCAUUUGUACCUUCAAGCUUUGCUUGGUGUUGGGCGUUUUUGUCUCCCUCUUUCUGGGAGACUCGCCUUAAAACGAUUGGCAGCCGGCCUACUGGUUUCGGAGCGCAGCACAUAAUUUGCGCUUUGUAUCAGGAGAAAAGGACGGUAAUCCAUCAAGACUCUACAUUUUUAACUUUUGACCUCGCAUCAGGUAGGGAUACCCGCUGAACUUAAGCAUAUCAAUAAGCGGAGGA